rnacentral:piRNA from 1 species
UCGAUAAUAACUACAAAUUGUUUGAUC